rnacentral:rRNA from 5 species
UGGUGGGUAGUUUGACUGGGGCGGUCUCCUCCUAAAGAGUAACGGAGGAGCACGAAGGUUGGCUAAUCCUGGUCGGACAUCAGGAGGUUAGUGCAAUGGCAUAAGCCAGCUUGACUGCGAGCGUGACGGCGCGAGCAGGUGCGAAAGCAGGUCAUAGUGAUCCGGUGGUUCUGAAUGGAAGGGCCAUCGCUCAACGGAUAAAAGGUACUCCGGGGAUAACAGGCUGAUACCGCCCAAGAGUUCAUAUCGACGGCGGUGUUUGGCACCUCGAUGUCGGCUCAUCACAUCCUGGGGCUGAAGUAGGUCCCAAGGGUAUGGCUGUUCGCCAUUUAAAGUGGUACGCGAGCUGGGUUUAGAACGUCGUGAGACAGUUCGGUCCCUAUCUGCCGUGGGCGCUGGAGAACUGAGGGGGGCUGCUCCUAGUACGAGAGGACCGGAGUGGACGCAUCACUGGUGUUCGGGUUGUCAUGCCAAUGGCACUGCCCGGUAGCUAAAUGCGGAAGAGAUAAGUGCUGAAAGCAUCUAAGCACGAAACUUGCCCCGAGAUGAGUUCUCCCUGAGACUUUAGGUCUCCUGAAGGAACGUUGAAGACGACGACGUUGAUAGGCCGGGUGUGUAAGCGCAGCGAUGCGUUGAGCUAACCGGUACUAAUGAACCGUGAGGCUUAACCUUACAACGCCGAA